CGGCGGCGUCGCACCUGCUUCCCCGGGAGCUGCCUGCCGCGGGGGGGGAGGGGGUGUGUGUGACGCGGCCCCGCCGGGAAACGGGACCGGGUGAGGCCGGUGGCGCCGCCGGGGGCUGCGAGGGGCCGGGCGGGACCCCGGGCGCGUCCCGUGGGGAGCCCGCGGCGGUGCCCGACACGGCGGGGGCCACCCGGUGUCUGACACUGCUGGCGCCGGGCGCCCCGGGACUGCCUUUCCCCGCUUUCCGGGUGAAGCGGCGCACCGGUUAGGUGGCCCAUGAGGUAUUUACAGCUGCUUCCAGGCUGCCUGUAGCCGGCACCUUGAGUACCCGUGAAAACCCGAGUAUAACAACAGGCAGUUUGCAAACUGCGGCGGUCCGGUGGGUUAAACAGAGCGACUCCCGAUGAAAGCGCAGUCACGCUGGUAAGAAGUAAAGCAGCGUUAAUAUUGGAGAAGCAAGGUCACGCACCUUUUGUAUCGGAACAGCAAGUGCCUUGUGCUUCCUGUAAAAUCUUUCCGUAUCCAAACUCCUGAUGAAGAUGAAUUUGCUGUUCUUGAUAACAAUGAUUGCAUUCUUUUCCAAGGCCAGUUACAAGAAGAUAAAUAGCCUGAGCUGCACUGGCACUUAUACUUUCUGUCAUUUACGCCAGCAUAUGAAAAAGUAGAGAUCCACAAGCAAACAGUUUAAAACUUUGUGCCUGUCUGUCAACCUUGAAAUUUGCUGCAAAAAUAAUGCAGACUGAUACAUGACUGCUCUGUUUUAGGAAUGGUAUUAGGAGCUUGCACCAGAAUUCUUCCCACCUCCUGGUAGCUAGUCCCAGGCCGCAGGAGGACAUUUCUCAGGAUGCGGGUCUGUGUCGCAAAGGCAAUGUUGAUGCAAGGAGUUCUCAUGCCUCCCACAUACCUCAUUUUCUGCUCGUCUCUCAGUCCCACCCCGACACUGCAGCAUGCAGCCUUGCGAGGCGUUUGUAGCCUGGAUCCUUUCAGCAACCUGCCUUCUCGCAGAGCCCUGCUGAUGGCUCCACAGGUUCUCCUACAGCAAUGUAGCAAGCUGCUGCAUGUCCCUUUUAACUGUGGGUACAGAAGAAUUUACAAUGCAAGCAUUUUAUAA
rnacentral:lncRNA from 1 species